UGCAGUCGAGCGGUAGAGAGGUGCUUGCACCUCUUGAGAGCGGCGGACGGGUGAGUAAUGCCUAGGAAUCUGCCUGGUAGUGGGGGAUAACGCUCGGAAACGGACGCUAAUACCGCAUACGUCCUACGGGAGAAAGCAGGGGACCUUCGGGCCUUGCGCUAUCAGAUGAGCCUAGGUCGGAUUAGCUAGUUGGUGAGGUAAUGGCUCACCAAGGCGACGAUCCGUAACUGGUCUGAGAGGAUGAUCAGUCACACUGGAACUGAGACACGGUCCAGACUCCUACGGGAGGCAGCAGUGGGGAAUAUUGGACAAUGGGCGAAAGCCUGAUCCAGCCAUGCCGCGUGUGUGAAGAAGGUCUUCGGAUUGUAAAGCACUUUAAGUUGGGAGGAAGGGCCAUUACCUAAUACGUGAUGGUUUUGACGUUACCGACAGAAUAAGCACCGGCUAACUCUGUGCCAGCAGCCGCGGUAAUACAGAGGGUGCAAGCGUUAAUCGGAAUUACUGGGCGUAAAGCGCGCGUAGGUGGUUCGUUAAGUUGGAUGUGAAAGCCCCGGGCUCAACCUGGGAACUGCAUUCAAAACUGUCGAGCUAGAGUAUGGUAGAGGGUGGUGGAAUUUCCUGUGUAGCGGUGAAAUGCGUAGAUAUAGGAAGGAACACCAGUGGCGAAGGCGACCACCUGGACUGAUACUGACACUGAGGUGCGAAAGCGUGGGGAGCAAACAGGAUUAGAUACCCUGGUAGUCCACGCCGUAAACGAUGUCAACUAGCCGUUGGGAGCCUUGAGCUCUUAGUGGCGCAGCUAACGCAUUAAGUUGACCGCCUGGGGAGUACGGCCGCAAGGUUAAAACUCAAUGAAUUUGACGGGGGCCCGCACAAGCGGUGGAGCAUGUGGUUUAAUUCGAAGGCAACGCGAAGAACCCUUACCAGGCCUUGACAUCCCAAUGAACUUUCCAGAGA
rnacentral:rRNA from 1 species